GACGAACGCUGGCGGCGUGCCUAAUACAUGCAAGUAGGACGCAGUUGCGAACGGGUGAGUAACGCGUAGGUAACUACCUAUUAGAGGGGGAUAACUAUUGGAAACGAUAGCUAAUACCGCAUACUAGUAGAUGGACCUGCGUUGUAUUAGCUAGUAGGUAGGGUAAUGGCCUACCUAGGCAACGAUACAUAGCCGAGCGGAGUGGGUGAUUGGCCACACUGGGACUGAGAAACGGCCCAGAUGCCUAAGGGAGGCAGCAGGAGGGAAUCUUUGGAAAGGGGGGGAACCCUGACCGAGCAACGCCGUGGUAGUGAAGAAGGUUUUCGGAUCGGAAAGCUCUGUUGUGAAGGAAGCGGUACUUAACCAGAAAGGGACGGCUAACUACGUGCCAGCAGCCGCGGUAAUUC
rnacentral:rRNA from 1 species